GGAAAUCUUAAUUCAACAUCGAGGUCGCAACUACUUUCGUCGAUAAGAACUCUCAGAAAAAAUUACGCUGUUAUCCCUAAAGUAACUUUUUCUUCUAAUCCUUAAAAAAGGAUCACUCCUCUAAAUAUGUUUAUUUAAAUUAUUAAACAGUUACUUAUUUUAUAUUCUUGUCGCCCCAACAUAAUAAAUAAAAACUAAUCCACUUUAACACUAAAAUUCAAAAAUUAAUUCUUUUAUAUAAAGUUUUAUAGGGUCUUAUCGUCCCUUUAAUAUAUUUGAGCCUUUUCACUCAAAAGUAAAAUUCUAUCUCUACAGGCCAAGACAGGCUAUUUUUUGUACGACCAUUCAUUCCAGCCUCCAAUUAAGAGACUAUUGAUUAUGCUACCUUCGCACGGUCAAAUUACCGCGGCCUUUAAAAACUUUC
rnacentral:rRNA from 1 species